AGACUACUUCCUCCGUUCUGAAUUACUUGUUGCAGAAAUUGAUUUAUCUAGACAUAUUUUCAGUUCUAGAUACAUUCAUUUUUGCGACAAGUAAUUUGUGAUGGAGGGAGUAUUUU
rnacentral:pre_miRNA from 1 species